GGGCCCGCACAAGCGGUGGAGUAUGUGGUUUAAUUCGAUGCAACGCGAAGAACCUUACCAGGGUUUGACAUCCUCGGAAUCUGCCGGAGACGGCGGAGUGCCUUCGGGAACCGAGUGACAGGUGCUGCAUGGCUGUCGUCAGCUCGUGUUGUGAAAUGUUGGGUUAAGUCCCGUAACGAGCGCAACCCUGUCCCCUAUUUGCCAGCGAUUCGGUCGGGAACUCUAUGGAAACUGCCCGUGAUAAGCGGAGGAAGGUGUGGAUGACGUCAAGUCCUCAUGGGCCCUUACGGGUUGGGCUACACACGUGCUACAAUGGUAGUGACAAUGGGUUAAUCCCCAAAAAGCUAUCUC
rnacentral:rRNA from 1 species